CUCCCUCAUGCUGUGUGUGAGUCUCCCUGUGUUUCCUGCUCAGUGUCACCGUGACUCCCUCGACUGGAGGCCAGAUUGAUUGAUUUGAUUUGGAGCUGCUUGUACCCUAAAGUGUCCCGGUACGUCUUCAGAGUCACGGUGAGUGUUUGAGGGCAGAGACGAUCUGCUUGUAUCAGGUGCACCUCCCUGUUUUUAUGUUUUCAGAGUUUGGCUCCGUGACACCGUGAUGCCCCCCGCCUCCCCUGUCAGUCAGCGGUUAAAAACCGGAGCGGCUGCUUCUCUGCUGAGUACAUAAAUAACGGUGCUCUGCUGCAUUUCCAUACAGACGGAGCUUCAGUGCAUUAAUCACCACAACAGCAGAGCAAACAGCUGCAGCAGGAAUUUGAGCGAGCCUUAAGCUGAUAGGCCGAGCGCUAAGCUGAGGGCGUAAGCGCUUUCAUUUUGGCCCAUCGUCUCCCAUCAGCGUUUACGGCUCCAUGGAGGACGGCGGCUGGAUUUGGGAACCAUUAGAGCUCCGUGAUGGAAACCACCUGGAGGGCAGACAGCCUGUUACACCUGCUGUGGCCACUAUGUGGCGUUAGAGAGCACCUGGUAAUGUUGCACACAGUAGACAUCUCCAUCCCUGGUAUCAAACAUGAAGGCCUGACGUACGGCCGAGGUCAGAAGUUCACUGCAGUCUGUCAUCAGCAUCUUUAAGCUUGUCAUCAGUGAUCGUGGUGCAGCACACGCAGUGGGAGGACUCAACACACCAGAACAAAGUAAAAGUCCAGCAUCGGAGCAGCUCGGAGCAGGACAAAGUACAAAACAUGAUGUUUCAGCUGCCAACAGGUGGCGUCAUCCCUACAGCUACCAGACUGGCGUACGUGUGGACACGAUGUUCAAGAUUAAAUCUGUAGGUUUGCUAAAGCAGAACAUCUGGAGUGACAAACAUGGCCCACAAUGGGGACUUCCUGUUGACGUCAAACUUCAUGUUUGACGAUGUGGGAUCAAAGUUUGGGAAACUUUAGCUCUAUGUUGAAAUUUUGCUGGGAUGCCAGUUUUCAGCAUCAGGUGUCCGAUUCGUUUCCAGGUCGCUGUGGAGCGCUGUGAGCACUCGUAUAUCGAGUACUGCCGCUCUGUGUGGAAAGUUAUUCUCUGAAGGUGUCAUUUUCUCCUGCGGCGCCCGAUGCUGCGUCUCUGCCAGCUGGCUUCCUCCCGUCGCAGCGAGCAGCGAUGGCGGCCGGCCUCUCUAAUCAGGGCCGCGGCUCAUUAAGAGCC